rnacentral:rRNA from 1 species
AGUGAACGCUGGCGGUAGGCCUAACACAUGCAAGUCGAACGGCAGCACAGUAAGAGCUUGCUCUUACGGGUGGCGAGUGGCGGACGGGUGAGGAAUACAUCGGAAUCUACUUUUUCGUGGGGGAUAACGUAGGGAAACUUACGCUAAUACCGCAUACGACCUACGGGUGAAAGCAGGGGAUCUUCGGACCUUGCGCGAUUGAAUGAGCCGAUGUCGGAUUAGCUAGUUGGCGGGGUAAAGGCCCACCAAGGCGACGAUCCGUAGCUGGUCUGAGAGGAUGAACCGGCAAAACGGGAAUGAGAAAAGGGCCAGAAUCCUAAGGGAGGCAGGAGUGGGGAAAAUUGGAAAAAGGGGGGAAACCUGAACCAGGCAAGACGGGGGGGGGAAGAAGGGCUUCGGGGUGUAAAGCCCUUUUGGUGGGGAAGAAAAGGCAGCGGGUAAUAACCCGGCUGUUUGAAGGUAACCAAAGAAUAAGCAACGGCUAAAUUCGUG